rnacentral:antisense_RNA from 1 species
AUAACGGGGCUCGCCUUUCUACGUUACUUUAUGUGGGAGUAGUUGUAAAACAGAAUGGGGGAGACCGCGGGGAUUGUGCAGAAAUGUAGCCACCGUUUACAUGUCGGGAGGCUGAGGUGGGAAGAUCGCUUGAGCCCAGGAGUUUGAUACCAGCCUGGGCAACAUGGUAAGACCCCUUCUCUACCCCCCCAAAAAAAAAUUUUUAGUCUGGCGUGGUGGUCGGUGCCUGUGGUCCCAGCCACUCGGGACGCUGAGGUAGGAGAAUUGCUUGAACCUGGGAGGUGGAGGUUGCAGUGAGCAGAGAUUGUACCACUGCACUCCAGCCUGGGCCAUAAAGCGAGAGCUUGACGGUGGGGUGGGGGUGUGGGAUGGACCUUCUGUGGUCCCAGCUACUCGGGAGGCUGAGGUGGGAGGAUUGCUUGAGCCCGGGAGUUU